rnacentral:rRNA from 2 species
UUGCACGGACUUGACGUUGGUUUACCAGCGAGUGGCGGACGGGUGAGUAACACGUAGGUAACCUGCCCCAAAGCGGGGGAUAACAUUUGGAAACAGAUGCUAAUACCGCAUAACAAUUUGAAUCGCAGAUUCAAAUUUAAAAGAUGGUUUCGGCUAUCACUUUGGGAUGGACCUGCGGCGCAUUAGCUUGUUGGUAGGGUAACGGCCUACCAAGGCUGUGAUGCGUAGCCGAGUUGAGAGACUGAUCGGCCACAAUGGAACUGAGACACGGUCCAUACUCCUACGGGAGGCAGCAGUAGGGAAUCUUCCACAAUGAGCGCAACCCUGAUGGAGCAACACCGCGUGAGUGAAGAAGGGUUUCGGCUCGUAAAGCUCUGUUGUUAGAGAAGAACGUGCGUGAGAGCAACUGUUCACGCAGUGACGGUAUCUAACCAGAAAGUCACGGCUAACUACGUGCCAGCAGCCGCGGUAAUACGUAGGUGGCAAGCGUUAUCCGGAUUUAUUGGGCGUAAAGCGAGCGCAGGCGGUUUGAUAAGUCUGAUGUGAAAGCCUUUGGCUUAACCAAAGAAGUGCAUCGGAAACUGUCAGACUUGAGUGCAGAAGAGGACAGUGGAACUCCAUGUGUAGCGGUGGAUGCGUAGAUAUAUGGAGACACCAGUGGC